AUAGAAAUAUUUGCCAUGAUUGUGACAGUACAAACUCUUUUUAAUUAAAUGGACACCUAAUUUAAAAUUUUGACGAAGAACAUAAACAGAUUAAAGCAAGGAAGUAUCACUUUUAUUAACAAAAAUGACAAUAGCCAUUUUCAGCAAGAGUAUGGAGUGAUGUAUACUUAUGCUUAUGUUGAGGGUAAAUUGAUAACGACUUUUUGGAAAAACGAUUUGGCCAAUCCUGAGCCUUAAAAUUGCUGUUACUCUUUGCUACAGUAAUUCUACAGGAAUAUGUUCUAUGGAAAUAGAGUUUCAUACUAUUAGGGGGCUUGUAAAGAACAGGGUUAUAUAACAUCACAUGGUAGAAGCUCAUAUGCACAUACUCAGAUCCCAGGAUGUUAUCUCACUAAAAGAACUGAGGGAGCAAGUGAGCCAUGGAGCUCUCCAUGGAAAAAGAAUUCCGUGUAGAGGGUAGAGCAAGUGCAAAGGGUCUGAGGCUAGGAAUGGACCUGGAAUGUACUGCAGCACUGUAAGGGAGGAGGAAAACAGAGUGAAAUUAAAGGUAAUAGGGCCUUGUAAGUAAUUGUAAAGGCAUUGUCUUUUAUUCUAAGUGAAGUAAAAAGCCACUGGAGGGUUUUAAGUGAUCUAACAAAUGUAAACAGGCUUAUUCUGAAUGCUGUGUUAAGAAUUGACAAAGUAGAGGCUAGAGCCAAAGCAGGGAUUCCAAUUAGGAGGUAUUGCAGUUACCCCUAAAAGAGAUAAGGUGUUAACAUAGUGUUAACAGUGAAGGUGACAGAAAUAAUCAAAUAUUGGAUAUAUUUUGACCAUGAUGAAUAUAUCAGAAAUUAAUUUUAAAACUGGACUUUAUUUAGUAUUUUAAUAGGUAAAAAGGAGGCCAAAAUCCUUUACUACUUUACAGACAGGAAGAAUUGCUUGUAAAAUCUUACAGUUGAACACAGUGUUUUAGGGACUGUGAAAUCAGUCUGUCUAGAUUAAUGUUUCAAGAUUAAUUAAAACAUUAACCUCAAAUAUCAAUGUUGAGAUUUAAGCUACUCUUAAGGGACUAGAGGGUUUUGUUUUUUCAUGUGGAUAAUAUAAAGUUCAAGUCGUGCCAUGGGAAUAGUCAUGCCCAACUUUGGGGAGUCAGGGGAGGCUUUCCAAAGAGAGAGGUUCUCAUCUUAGUCCAGAAUAAACUGCAAUAACCUGAGGGGGUGGACAAGGAGGAGUUAAAAGUGUUUCAAGCAAAGUGAGAAAAAUGCAGUUUUAGGAAUAAAUAUAGCCUAUUGGUUAAGAGCAAGGCUUCCUGAGCUGAGAUCAGUUUUUGGGAAGACAAGGUAUAUUUCUACCUAAUGUCAACAAACAUAAUCAUUGGCUCAGUGUGAACUGGGAGUAAUACAGACUCUCAUCAGCAAUUCUGGUGAGAAAAGUAUCAGACUCAGGCAGAUCCUGUCAGAAAUUCCUAUCAAAUUGAAUGAUUAAAUCCUAAUAUCUAUUGAAUAUUAAUAUGGGGUAUGCAGAGGCUGAAAAACUAUGACCCAGUCAAAAAGGCAAUGCUAUGGUGUGUUUCUGUUUCUGUCUAAUCAGGCCCUAAAAUUUGGAAUACAGACCACAAUCACUGCACCCAUAAGGUAUCCUUCACUGAACAUUAAUUGUCAGAUGAAUUAGAACUCUAACAUUCUUCAAAAUAGUUUCCUGGUGAACAGUGACAGCACAGUGGCUGAAGGAUCCAAAAGGCUCACUGGGGUUUUACCCAGAAUCUGUCCUUUACUGAUGUUAUGGGAUUGGGAUAAUCUUUUGACCUCUCUGAGCUUAAGCAGCCUCGGCUAUAAAAUAAAAUGUUGAAGUAAGAUGAGUCCUAAGGCUACUGCCCAAACAAAUUGAUCUUUUCUCUAGAAUAGUGCCUAUUCACAUAAUAAAGUAUUAAUUUUCACAGCACACUGAUUCUCAGUCUUAAAAGUUUAAUGUCAUUAAAAUUUCACAGCUGCUUUGAGAAAGGUCCCACAAGGCACAUUCUACAGUCAAGAGAAAUUGUGGCAUAGAAAAGUUCAUGAUUCACCAGAGGGUGAGAUUCCUACGAGCUUCUUAUCACAACAUUUUUGUCAACGGAUCAAUACAUAAUUUGCCUUUAAUAUGCGAUAUUAGUAUUAAACAGUAUUAAUAUAUCAUUAUAUAAUAUAUAAAAUAUAUAUAAAAUAACAUUUACUAUAUUGAUUUGUUAAUACUGAACUCACAAGACAACAGCACUAUAAUGCCUGAAGGAAGCUUCUCUUUCACAUGUAUUUUUUCCUAAGGUACAUCACAGCCCUCUUGUACUUAGGAACACUAGACAGCACCUUAGCACUAUACUUGGGACCAUUUUAAUUUUAAACAGCAAAAAUCAACAAAAAGCACAAAAAUGCUAAAACGGCACUAAAUAUAUUGUGAAUGGAUGCUUUUUAUGGUAGAAGAGCUAAAACAAGAAGGUAUGGCAUUGCUUUGUUCAACCUCAGCUGGUCACAUGCACCUUGGGCAACUUGAAAUUUGCUCUGCUCUGCACAUGUGUACAAAUGACUGGGGAAAGUGCUACAAGUAUUGAUUUUGGUUACAAAUAAAUUGUAGUGAGUAGGUGAAUUUACAAAUAUGAAAUCCAUUAGUAAUGAGGUUAAACUGUAUAUAAAAUCUAGGCAAGCCAAUCAAACAUAAAGGCAUAAGAAAGAACAAAAAAUAGGAUAAGGAAGAAAAUGUAAUCAUAGAACACUGCUUAUCUCUGUUUGGACAAUAUGGCAUAGUCAUAAAAAUGUUAUCACUGAAAAUAAAUUAACAACUGAUAGAAACUAUGUUAGUAGGAUCACGGAAGGGUAAGUGAGAGGGGGCAUAAAAACACCAAAUUUCCAUCUCCCAUAAUAGAAAAAAAGCAGAAGGAAGUACCUAAAAUUGUCAAUCUUACUGCAUAAGCGUAGUGCAGUAUUUAGAAAUAGGUAGGUAGAUACAAAAAGAAUCAGCUCAAAGUGAUUUCUCUGAGGAUCAGAGGCUAAAAUGAAGUAGGAAAUAGUGUUGCCAGAAAAAGAGGUCCCAAUCCAGACCUUAAGAGAGAACUAUUGGGUCUAAGCAGGAAGGAAUUCAAGGCGAGUUGCAGAGUACAGUGAGAAGAGAGUUUAUUGAAAGCUACCCAGAUACAGAGUAGGGUGUCCUCAGAAACGAAAUGGAGGAAUGUGCCUUCUUUGUUUUAAACUGUUCUUGUAUAGGAGUCUUAUCUAUGUUAAAACUAUUAUGUCUAUGUGGGGGUAGGCUGACAGCGUGACAAAAUUUAGUACUUUGUUUUUAAAAAGUUUUCUGUGGCAUUUUAGUGCAUAAGUACAUCAAAGCAUGACUAUAUCUUAAAAGUAUACAUUGUUAUGUGAUACUGGGACAUCUGGACAUUCUGCCAUCAUAGGAGUUUAUCCUUGCAAGCAUUACUAAACUGCUUCCUUAGCCAAAAACAUGUUAUGACUGUGCAUUGUGACUGGCCAGGAAUGUGCCUUGCUGGUUUUACGAUGGAGUUGAUUUAAAAAUAGUAUUACCGUAGCUCUCCUAUGCUCCUGUUUACUUAACAAUAAUGUGACUAGCCAGAAUCUUAACCUGGGUCAGAUGUCCCAGAAUGAAAGCAUACAUAGCUGGAUGACUCGUUCAGACCUCAGAGCUGGUACAUGUUAGAAAUGUGUUCAUUGUAGAAGCUGAAAGAAAAGUCCCAAUGGUUGAUUCUAUGAGCCCCUUGGUGAGGAACAGCUUUCUCACAGCAUGUGACAUAAUUCUGUGGCACAGCACGAUCUGUCAGUCCUGUCCUCGAAAUCUAAUAUAGCUGAGUGUUUUUCCCUCUGAGGACAAUUUACACAUUUUAUUUAUACUUCACUGUUAGUGUAAAAAGGUUGAUUUAAGACAAAGUCGAUAUCCUGUCAUAUUAUUUAUAGCAUGUUUAUCCUAUUGAUGGUUGCGGAAGCAGCACAGAUUCUUUGGCCAUUAUUAGCAGUCUUCACUCUUGAAAUACAACUUUGACAAUAUAUUAAUUAUGCCACUUUGCUAACACUGAUGUUUUGGUUAUCUAUUGCCAUUUUACCUAACGACAACCAUUUUAUUUGCUCACAAUUGUGAAAUCUGGGCUGGGCUGAGCUGAGCUGCUUGGUUCUGCUCGUCUUGCCAGUGUGCAUUCCUGUGAUUGCAUUAAGGAACAAGCUGGGCUGUGCUUUUUCUCUCUCCAUGUAGUUUCAGGACUUCUCCCUCUUCACAUAGUUUCUACAUGGCAUUUCCAGCAGAAUUCCUGGAUUCUUCCUGAGUUGCUCAGGGAUCCUAAGAGCUCAAGAGCAGAAACUUCCAGCCCUUCAUGAAAUUUCAGUGCAAACUAUCACUUCUGCCAUAUUCUAUUAGGGAAAAAGAGUCACAGGACCACCCUAGAUUCACAGGAAGGGGACUACACAACGUUAUGAACACCAAGAGGCGGUUCACGGGGAGAUGCCAGUAGAACCAGUGGUGUUCUGACAAAUUGACAGUUUUCCACUUUCCUAAGAAGAAGAAAUGGCCAAAUCCCAGGGAAUGAACAUAUGGAAGAAGAGCAACUAAAAGCUGUGAAUACACAAUUAAGAAUCAAAAGAGGAUAACCAAAAGGCCCGAUGGCAGUCUGAAACCCAGCGGCUGUAAGAUGCAAACAUCUGAAACCUGGGAUUUAAUGAAAUCACCAGAAGAGUAACCUAUUCUGUUAAUUCUGGCAUUCAAUGGAAACACCAGAAAGAGCAACCUAUUCUGGUAAGUUGGCUAAUUAAAGCCUAGAGUCAAAUUUGAC